rnacentral:rRNA from 1 species
AUUGAACGCUGGCGGCAGGCCUAACACAUGCAAGUCGAACGAGUGGCGGACGGGUGAGUAAUGUCUGGGAAACUGCACGAUGGAGGGGGUUAACUACCGGAAACGGUAGCUAAUACCGCAUACCAUCGGAUGUGCCCAGAUGGGAUUAGCUAGUAGGUGGGGUAACGGCUCACCUAGGCGACGAUCCCUUGCUGGUCUGAGAGGAUGACCAGCCACAGUGGAACGGAGACACGGUCCAGACUCCUACGGGAGGCAGCAGUGGGGAAUAUUGGACAAUGGGCGCAAGCCUGAUGCAGCCAUGCCGCGUGUAUGAAGAAGGCCUUCGGGUUGUAAAGUACUUUCAGCGGGUGGGCGUUACUCACAGAAGAAGCACCGGCUAACUCCGUGCCAGCAGCCGCGGUAAUUC